UGAGCUUGAUCCUGGCUCAGGAUGAACGCUAGCGGCAGGCUUAACACAUGCAAGUCGAGGGGUAUAAGUCUUCGGAUUUAGAGACCGGCGCACGGGUGCGUAACGCGUAUGCAAUCUACCUUUCACAGAGGGAUAGCCCAGAGAAAUUUGGAUUAAUACCUCAUAGUAUAACGACCUGGCAUCAGGAUGUUAUUAAAGUCACAACGGUGAAAGAUGAGCAUGCGUCCCAUUAGCUAGUUGGUAAGGUAACGGCUUACCAAGGCUACGAUGGGUAGGGGUCCUGAGAGGGAGAUCCCCCACACUGGUACUGAGACACGGACCAGACUCCUACGGGAGGCAGCAGUGAGGAAUAUUGGACAAUGGGCGCAAGCCUGAUCCAGCCAUGCCGCGUGCAGGAUGACGGUCCUAUGGAUUGUAAACUGCUUUUAUACGAGAAGAAACACUGCUUCGUGAAGCAGCUGACGGUAU
rnacentral:rRNA from 1 species